rnacentral:rRNA from 1 species
GAUGAACGCUGGCGGCGUGCCUAAUACAUGCAAGUCGAGCGAACAGACGAGGAGCUUGCUCCUCUGACGUUAGCGGCGAACGGGUGAGUAACACGUGGAUAACCUACCUAUAAGACUGGGAUAACUUCGGGAAACCGGAGCUAAUACCGGAUAAUAUAUUGAACCGCAUGGUUCAAUAGUGAAAGACGGUUUUGCUGUCACUUAUAGAUGGAUCCGCGCCGCAUUAGCUAGUUGGUAAGGUAACGGCUUACCAAGGCAACGAUGCGUAGCCGACCUGAGAGGGUGAUCGGCCACACUGGAACUGAGACACGGUCCAGACUCCUACGGGAGGCAGCAGUAGGGAAUCUUACGCAAUGGGCGAAAGCCUGACGGAGCAACGCCGCGUGAGUGAUGAAGGUCUUCGGAUCGUAAAACUCUGUUAUUAGGGAAGAACAAAUGUGUAAGUAACUAUGCACGUCUUGACGGUACCUAAUCAGAAAGCCACGGCUAACUACGUG